GCCUACGGGACGCAGCAGUGGGGGAUAUUGCACAAUGGGGGAAACCCUGAUGCAGCGACGCCGCGUGAGUGAAGAAGUAUUUCGGUACGUAAAGCUCUAUCAGCAGGGAAGAAUAAUGACGGUACCAGACUAAGAAGCCCCGGCUAACUACGUGCCAGCAGCCGCGGUAAUACGUAGGGGGCAAGCGUUAUCCGGAUUUACUGGGUGUAAAGGGAGCGCAGACGGCUGUGCAAGUCUGGAGUGAAAGGCGGGGGCCCAACCCCCGGACUGCUCUGGAAACUGUAAAGCUGGAGUGCAGGAGAGGG
rnacentral:rRNA from 1 species